GGCCCCAUAGCUCAGUGGUAGAGCAGUUGCCUCUUAAGCAAUUGGUCGGAGGUUCGAAUCCUCCUGGGGUCA
rnacentral:tRNA from 1 species